rnacentral:rRNA from 1 species
AGAGAGAGACAUGCGCGCAUAUCAAUAAGCGGAGGAAAAGAAACUAACAAGGAUUCCCUUAGUAACGGCGAGUGAAGCGGGAAGAGCUCAAAUUUGAAAUCUUCAAGGUAUUACCUUGACGAAUUGUAGUUUAAAGAAGUGUUUUCUGCUGAAGUUUUGGUAAAAGUUCUUUGGAAUAGGACAUCAUAGAGGGUGAGAAUCCCGUAUUUGACCAUUAUUUUCAGCUUUGUGAUACACUUUCAAAGAGUCGGAUUGUUUGGGAAUGCAGUCCAAAAUGGGUGGUAAAUUUCAUCUAAAGCUAAAUAUUGGCGAGAGACCGAUAGCGAACAAGUACCGUGAGGGAAAGAUGAAAAGAACUUUGAAAAGAGAGUUAAACAGUACGUGAAAUUGUCAAAAGGGAAGCGUUUGACACCAGUGUUGUUUUCUCGAAAAUCAAUUAAAAAUGGCUCGAUUUUGUAUUGCUGAGACCUUAAAGGCUCACUGUACAUUUUUCGUGUCUUUUUUAAUGCACUUUUCGUUUAACAAGUCAACAUCAGUUUCUUUUGUUGUAAAAGGGUCAUUGGAAGGUGGCUUUCUUUUCGGAGAAAGUGUUUAUAGCCUUUGGCCUCUGCAAUCGGAGAGAUUGAGGUCUGCAGCGUAGACUCCUUCGGGGUUAGAUACAUUUGUGCUAAGUUAUAGCCUUUUCAUAGACAACUUGUUGACUAUAAUCAGUCAUGUAGCUUACUCGCUUAUGCUAUUUUACCUACGCUUAGGAUGUUGAGUCGUAGAGCACGCAG